UCACCAUCAGACUUGAAGUCCAUUAGGCGAACCAACCGCAAAAGUUCAAGUCUUCUUCAAAUAAAGGCUGGUGAAGGAGACCAUAAGAGCCUCAAAGAGACCAAUGAGAGCCUCAAGGAAGUAAAAGUUGACAAGGAAAGGAUUCAGAACAAGUCAUGAAGGACUAAGAAAGUGAAGAGUAGAGCCGGUUAUAUUUGAAGUCCAUUUAGACGAUCCAACCAAGUCAAAACUCAAGACAACACGAAGAAGAAAUCUGGCCAGCGAACUCAAGUGGUUGUUAGAGAGGAAGUGACAUUGGUGGACGAUCAAAUUAGAGAAGAAAUCUGGUGGGAAUUCUGAAUCAAGCUCACGCAUUCAAGUGUCAAAGUCAUGGAGCUCAAGAUUGAAUGUGCACAAGACUUCAGAGUCAUUGAUGUACAAGGUUUCAAGGCUCAAAAAUGUAGCAGUUUGGAGUAGCCAUGGAGUCCACGAAGUAGACAACAUGAUUGGUACUCGUUGGAAGUAUCAUGGCGUCUUGGAGUUAGACCUUGAAGAACCCGGAGUAGAAAAUAAUGGCUACCCGUGUUGAAGAAAGAGAGCAGCUUCAAUUCUCAUGCCCAUUCCGGUUACUA